rnacentral:tRNA from 1 species
GGGGUUAUGGCUCAAUGGUAGAGCGCUCGUCUUGCAUGUGGGAAGCCCUGGGUUCGAUCCUCAGCACUA